rnacentral:rRNA from 1 species
CAGUCGCCGCGGUAAUACGUAGGUGGCAAGCGUUGUCCGGAAUUAUUGGGCGUAAAGGGCUCGCAGGCGGUUUCUUAAGUCUGAUGUGAAAGCCCCCGGCUCAACCGGGGAGGGUCAUUGGAAACUGGGAAACUUGAGUGCAGAAGAGGAGAGUGGAAUUCCACGUGUAGCGGUGAAAUGCGUAGAGAUGUGGAGGAACACCAGUGGCGAAGGCGACUCUCUGGUCUGUAACUGACGCUGAGGAGCGAAAGCGUGGGCAGCGAACAGGAUUAGAUACCCGGUAGUCCCUGUCUCUUAUACA